GUAGGGUGGCAAGCGUUGUCCGGAAUUAUUGGGCGUAAAGCGCGCGCAGGCGGUCCUUUAAGUCUGAUGUGAAAGCCCACGGCUCAACCGUGGAGGGUCAUUGGAAACUGGGGGACUUGAGUACAGAAGAGGAAAGCGGAAUUCCAAGUGUAGCGGUGAAAUGCGUAGAGAUUUGGAGGAACACCAGUGGCGAAGGCGGCUUUCUGGUCUGUAACUGACGCUGAGGCGCGAAAGCGUGGGGAGCAAACAGGAUUAGAUACCCUGGUAGUCCACGCCGUAAACGAUGAGUGCUAAGUGUUAGGGGGUUUCCGCCCCUUAGUGCUGCAGCUAACGUAUUAAGCACUCCGCCUGGGGAGUACGGCCGCAAGGCUG
rnacentral:rRNA from 1 species